UGGAGCUCAGGGCUGGGCCUUUAUUUUCACUGAUUUGCAUCAGUGUCCCCCCCAGGCUGCGAGUGGCAGAGGCAGCACCAGCCAGUCCAUUCAGGUGUCAACCCCCAUUAAUAACUAUUCAAAUUGUCCAGCUGCCCUAAAUGGGCUGUGCUGGAGGGCUGCUCCCGUUCCUGGCCGCUGCACAGCUCUGCUUGCCAAGCCCCCGAGCCUCUGAGCCAUCCCAUUGAUGGAGAGCCUGAAUCUGUGUUAAAAGCUCUGAAUCUGCUUUCCUGCCUCCAG
rnacentral:lncRNA from 12 species